rnacentral:rRNA from 1 species
UACGUAGGGGGCUAGCGUUGUCCGGAAUUAUUGGGCGUAAAGAGCUCGUAGGCGGUGUGUCACGUCGGCCGUGAAAACCUGCAGCUUAACUGUGGGCGUGCGGUCGAUACGGGCAUCACUGGAGUUCGGCAGGGGAGACUGGAAUUCCUGGGUGUAGCGGUGAAAUGCGCAGAUAUCAGGGAGGGAACACCGGUGGGCGAAAGGCGGGUCUCUGGGC